UACAGAGGAGCCAAGCGUUGUCCGGAUUGACUGGGCGUAAAGCGCACGCAGGCGGAUGCGCGCGUGGGGUGUGAAAUCUGGCCGCUUAACGGCCAGGCGCCAUCCCAUACGGCGCGUCUGGAGUGAUGCAGAGGUCGGUGGAAUUGCCGGUGUAGUGGUGAAAUGCGUAGAUAUCUGGAGGAACACCGGUGGCGAAGGCGGCAGUCCUGGACCGGCAUGACGCUGAGGCGUCGAAAGCCAGG
rnacentral:rRNA from 1 species